rnacentral:rRNA from 2 species
UGGGGAAUAUUGCACAAUGGGCGAAAGCCUGAUGCAGCGACGCCGCGUGAGGGAUGACUGCCUUCGGGUUGUAAACCUCUUUCAGCAGGGACGAAGCGAAAGUGACGGUACCUGCAGAAGAAGCACCGGCCAACUACGUGCCAGCAGCCGCGGUAAUACGUAGGGUGCAAGCGUUGUCCGGAAUUAUUGGGCGUAAAGAGCUCGUAGGCGGUCUGUCACGUCGGCUGUGAAAACCUGGGGCUCAACUCCGGGCCUGCAGCCGAUACGGGCAGACUAGAGUUCGGCAGGGGAGACUGGAAUUCCUGGUGUAGCGGUGAAAUGCGCAGAUAUCAGGAGGAACACCGGUGGCGAAGGCGGGUCUCUGGGCCGAUACUGACGCUGAGGAGCGAAAGCGUGGGGAGCAAACAGG